AAUAAAGGGAUCAAAACAAAAAAAAAGAUAUUAGACUCAUUAACAUAUAUGCACCCAAUAUAGGAACACCUAAAUAUAUAAAACAAAUACUAACAGACAUUAAGAGAGAAAUUGAUGAGAGCACAAUAAUAGUAGGACACUUCAACACCUCACUAACAUCAUUGGACAGAUCUUCCAGACAGAAAAUCAAUAAGGAAACAGAGAUACUAAAUGACACAAUAGAAUAGUUGGA